ACAAGGAUGACGUCAUGAUGCAAAUAUGUGUUUAUGCAGUAUUUAUGUGCAGCUGAGCUGAGUGGAGCAGUCGAGUCUCAUCAACACUCACCAUGAAGAUCUCACUCUCCUUAUUCCUGCUACUGAUCAGCUUCAUCACAGGUGUGAAAUGUGAAAGUCUCGAGUCGUUACAAACCACAGUGCAGAAGAAACCUGGAGAAACACUGAGUCUCUCCUGCAGAGGAUCUGGGUUUACUUUUGGCAGCUAUCACAUGCACUGGAUCAGACAGAAGGAGAACAAACCACUGGUGUGGAUGGGAGAUGUCCAUCCUGAUGGCAGUGGCACUGGUUAUAGUAAAUCAUUUGAAGGAAGAAUAGAAAUCACCAGAGAUAAUUCCAACAGCAUGGCGUAUCUGAAACUCUCUGGUGUGACAGCAGAGGACACAGCUGUGUAUUACUGCGCACGAAGCACAGUAGCAGAAAUAUGAGGAAACACUGUACAAAAACAUCAGUGGUGCAGAUGAUGCAUUUAUCUUCUGUUUUAUAUUAAUGAUCCCUAAUCUACAAUAUUCCCUCACUUACUUCCUCAUAUAGAUAAUGUAAGUAACAUGAAUAAUUUUCAACAAAGAAUCAAUUACCAAAUAAUUACUAAUAAGGAACCAAAUAAGUUAUAAACACUAUUUGUGUGCUGUUAAAGGGAUUCAUGUGACUGUGUUCCUGUUAUCACUUCUGUCAGAGAAACUAUAAACAGUUGUUCCCUCACGAGAAUCUGGUUUGUGUAAAUUUUAAAAGUAGUUAGAAAAUAUCAUGCAGUUGGUG